UACGAAGGGGGCUAGCGUUGUUCGGAAUUACUGGGCGUAAAGCGCACGUAGGCGGAUAUUUAAGUCAGGGGUGAAAUCCCGGGGCUCAACCCCGGAACGGCCUCUGAUACUGGGUAUCUUGAGUGUGGUAGAGGUAAGUGGAAUUGCGAGUGUAGAGGUGAAAUUCGUAGAUAUUCGCAGGAACACCAGUGGCGAAGGCGGCUUACUGGACCACAACUGACGCUGAGGUGCGAAAGCGUGGGGAGCAAACAGG
rnacentral:rRNA from 1 species